AUAAAAUCAACUUGCGUUGUGCUAAUGGAAACAGUUUCAAACUGAUAAACAACGAAUAUACAUUUAAUUGACUUGUCUGUGCUUUAUAUAAUAUUAGAAAUGCCGCCGCCCCACGCACUACCUUGCGGGCCAUACUGCGGUACUGGGAACUGUGCACCGCAUUGUUACCACAGGAACAAGAUCACAGUGUAUCCGACGCCGCCGCAAUACCCGCCGACCCACUAUCCACCGCACUAUCCCCAUCAGCCCCCACCUCAUCACCCACAUCAUCCUCCCCCACAUCACCCACAUCAUCCUCCCCCACCGCAUCAUCCUCCCCCACCGCAUCAUCCACAUCAUCCCCCACCACCACAUCAUCCUCAUCCCCCACCACCACAUCAUCACUUACCUCACCACGAUUUGCGGUAGAUCAUCAAGACUGUGUUAAUGUGGACUACGACCUCAAUUUUUCCAUAUCCAAAAUUCCAAGAUCUGUUUAUGAUUCAAUGUUAUCAUUUUUCUAAGUACUCAAUCAUUAGUGAUUAUAAAGAUUACAAAAACCUGAUAAGAUAACAAUGAUUUUUAUGAGAAAUUAAAUGAUUACAAAUGCUAUAA